rnacentral:rRNA from 1 species
AGAGUUUGAUCCUGGCUCAGGAUGAACGCUGGCGGCGUGCCUAACACAUGCAAGUCGAACGGGUGUACGGGAUGGAAGGCUCCGGCCGGAAGCCCCGUGCAUGAGUGGCGGACGGGUGAGUAACGCGUGGGCAACCUGCCCUGUACAGGGGGACAACACUUAGAAAUAGGUGCUAAUACCGCAUAACGGGGGGAGCCGCAUGGCACCCCCCUGAAAACUCCGGUGGUACAGGAUGGGCCCGCGUCUGAUUAGCUAGUUGGCAGGGUAACGGCCUACCAAGGCGACGAUCAGUAGCCGGCCUGAGAGGGCGGACGGCCACACUGGGACUGAGACACGGCCCAGACUCCUACGGGAGGCAGCAGGUGGGGGAUAUUGCACAAUGGGGGGAACCCUGAUGCAGCGACGCCGCGUGGGUGAAGGAGCGUUUCGGCGCGUAAAGCCCUAUCGGCAGGGAAGAAGGAGGACGGUACCUGACUAAGAAGCCCCGGCUAACUACGUG